GAUUGCUCCCGGAACUGAGUCGCGCAGCAAACCCCGCGGCUGUCAGUGAGGCGUCUUCUCCCAGAGCAACAGCUGUCAGCACGGCAUCGUCAGGCUGUUCUUUCCAAUGAAGACGCACCGCCGACCACACAGCUGUCUGUGAAUGGCCCCGCGGGUACAAGAACAGGCGAUACACGGCAGUGGACCUUUCAAGGCAGUGUGUUGACCUCUGGCCAGUCUCAGCGGAAUCCACAAUCUUUGAUACCUACACAAACACUGAGCUGGUGGGGCUCCCGCUUGCUCUAGGGAAAUGAAACAGGUUAAGAUUGUUUGAUAUAACUAGUUGGGCCUGAGACCGUUCCCAGCACAGAAAAUCCAUUAGGCGGGGACGAUGGUUGCCCGCCAUUUGGAGAGGAGGAUUUUGCUUCCUGGUUGCGAGAUCCUAUUCUUGCCCAAGAAGACAAUGAUUGGGUUGCUGCCCCCACGCUUGUGUCCGCAAGGAAUCCCUGGGCAGGUGACAAGGAUACCCCAAAGCAAGGCUGCUCCUGGCCGGACCCACUGAAGAGGCACAUAUGACCUGCUCAAAAGUUCGUAAAAAAGUGCCCGAAGCACAGGUGUUUUCUCCGUGGUGGUGGCUUCUACGAAGUCGGGGAGGGGGGGGCGGGGAUCCUGGCUGGGAAGGCCCAGGUGUUCCGACUGAGGGCAAGACUGCAAAUGUCUUCCUAAAAGUGAUGUUGUCCCAUCUGACUGCAACAGAUGUGCUCUGGCCAGGAGCCAGCUGCUCUGAGUGAUGUUGGAAACAGAAGUGUCCCCAAACCCUACGGUUUCCUGUCCCACUACUACACUCCCCAUCCUGUGGACCUGUGGACCCCAGGCGCCCUGACUGUAUUCAUGGACAACAGUUCCUCCAGCCACACAUGUGGUGCCCUGGCCAGCCGGUCCUGAGGAGUGACAGAAGGCAGGGACAGAAGUAUCUCCAGACAUGUGUUUCUUCUCAGUGGUGCAGGCUUCUCCAAUAGUGACUGGUUUGCUGUGGUCAUAUGGGGCCCAAGGGUGCUGUCCGGCCGCCGGAAGGAUGACUGAUUCUCCACCACAGUUAUUGUCCCGGCCCCUCUCACUGGAAGUGUCCCUGUGCUCCGGCCAGGUGGAACCCAAGUGCUCUGAUUCCAGGUGGGACUAGGAGAACCUCCACACGCAGGUGCGGCGCUGCCCUCUUACUGCAGUGAUGCGUUUGCACCAGAUGGUGGUCGGGUGCCUGGAACACAAGAAGGAACAGAAGUGUCGUCAGGCACAUGUGUUGUCAAGGAUGGCGGCUCCUCCAGUAGGAACAGGUGUGGGUGCCUGGGGGUUCCAGGUGGUCUGACGUGGGGCAAGAAGGAACGUGUCUCCCAGGGGAGCCUUAUUCUCUGCAGAUGAAACAGAGGUGCUACCGGCUGGCAGGACUCUGAUGUUCAGGCCUCGGCCUCCCCAACAAGACUUGAGGUGCCCGGUGUGGCCCUCAGGCCUUUCCUGAAGCUGAGCGCUUCAGACAUGGAGCUGGGGCGGGUGGCGGACACGUUGACCCCAGAGCGUCCUUACCCAAAGAGCUGCGGGUCCCUUGCAAAGAAAGGGGCCUGGAGUGAUGUUAGCCAAAGCUGAGCCGUGCCUAGUGCUGGGCGUCCUGAUGAUGGCUCCAGGUCACGGGGAGCAGCAGCUGUGCAAACGGAGACAACCCCGGAGGUGCCACCAAAGCCCGGCUGACCGAUGCCAAAGGGGGAACGUGGGCGUGUCAGGCAUGCAGAAGCUGACUGAGCUGUGCUCCCACUGGGUGCCUGUGCGUCAGUAGAGGUUAAGUCUGGAGAUUGUGUUGGGACUGCCAGAUUGCCCAUAGGGUGAGAGCUAGCAAAUCUAUCGGCGGGGUGGGGGCGGGGCAUGUCACAUGGACCCUGGGAGGGGCUUUGUGGCCAUAUCAGUUUCAUCAGAGGCAAAGGCAGGCUUGCUUGGAAGCCCAGGUGGCUGAGGUCCUGACCGCUGGAAAGCAGGUAACUGCGAAACCAGUUACGGAUCGACUGGUAAAGACAGACACUGGGGAGAGUGCCUCUCUGCUACUGCCCAUCAGGGCCUCCAAAUGUGACUGAGGGGUGGCUCCUAGGCUCAAGGAAAGGCUCAGAAUUGGGGGUAGGGCUCCUGGUCGUAAAUGCAGUGGGCUAGUAGAGACUGGACGUGUUGCACACUGAAUUUUCCUGCGUCAGGAGGAGAUAACUCACAGCGGAUCCCGGGGGAAUCAGGAGGUGAAUGCCUGGAAAUGGGGAGCCGAGCCCAUGUUGGUUACGGCCAAUUCCAAAAGAGGCUGGAGGUCAUGCUUGCGGAUGCACUGACUGCUUCAGUGGAAGUGACAGGGAAUCUGCGAUGGACUGGCCAGUGAAAACUGAGGUAUCGGUAGAAGUGAGGCAGGAACACCGGGACUGGACGAGUGGGUGGGUGCCAGCUGGUCAGGGGACAGGAGCUGGGUUGCAGAAGGGCAGAAGCUUGCUUUAACAAAUUGCCCACCUAGAGCAGCGUGUUCACGUCUGCUCCCGUGAACGAAUAUACGUAAUUUGACGUGCCUCCCAACUACCGCCUCUCCCGAGGCAAACCAUGCACUGUUCAGCCUGAUGCUGGUGACUCCUCCCUGGAAUGUGUGACAGAGAAAGGACUGGCCAGGAUGAGUGGAAGAAAGGGCACCGGAGAGCAAAAAGGCAGGGCCGAUGUCCCUUCUGCAGUCCCUUUGGGAUAUCCGCACCUGGUUGCAGGUGUUGGGGACCAGAUGUGCCCCUGCACUCUGCGGGCACAGCUCAGGACUGCAGAUGCUCCUUGCCAGCGGCCCGGGGACCGCCGGGGCUUGGGGUCUACAGCCCCCUCGGCACCUGGCCCAGGGCCGUAGCUGUGGCCAUCCCUGCCUCUGGGUCCACUGGCCAUUUGUCCCGGGGUCAGAGGAAGCAGAGCCUGCUCAGAGCCCAGCACUGGGGCAAGCUGCGUCUUACUGCGGUGGGGGCCUGGCUCGCUCUAGGUCAGUGUAAGAGAGAACCUGAGGGAGGGAGGAUAUGAGGUUGGCUCUUUCCUAAGGAGACUGGUGCAAGUCCUGGAGCAAGACAGACCUCCUUUGUGGCGGUCCUGGAAAAGCGUGAGUCCCAAGCAUCACAGGCUGGGUUGCAAAAUGUCCUGAGGUGGGGGCGGAUGGGGUGCCCUAAUGUGCCCAGAUGCCGUACCCCACAAUAUCCCUUCCAUGCAGGCGGGUUCUCUUCACCUCUUUUUACAAAUUUUACAAAUUACAAACAGCAUUUAACCCUUGGAACCUUGCUCAGCUCCCCCAUGUGGCAGUGCAGCCAGGAUUUGAACCCAGUCUGUCUGAUUGCAGAGCUCAUGCAUUCACCACCUGACUAUGGUGCCCCCUCAUCAUGUGGGCAUCAUGGAGGACCAUUUUUAUAGUCAGGCGCUCAGCACCUUGGCACACCUCUAAGCAUCAUAGACGCUGCCUACUAGGUCUGAAUUGGUAGCACUCAUAAGGCACCCACAGGCCACCCUGGGCUCCAGUGUCCUUAGAAGGUGUAGGACAGAGAUCAGCGGUUGCCAGCAUAUCCCGUGGGGCAUUUGUCUUAGCCUUGUGGCAAACCACACAGCUGUCCGUGAGCAAUCUCUCCCGGGUGCAAGGACCCAAGCUGCACUGCAGUUGGGCGCAGAAUCCACUCUGGCUUAAAAGUCUGUGUCCCAAGGCAUAAUCUCUUGUGGUAACUCCUUAACCCUGCUUUGCCUUGGGAUGAAGGAAAUUCCCUCCGAUUCCUACCGUACUGAGGGAUUUUUUUGAAAGCUAUGUUAAGCCUCAUCAAUUACUUCCCCACAGCUUUGAGAUGUGCAUAUUCUCUCAAUGUGGUGAAUUACACUGAUUGAUUUUAAAUAUUAAACCAACUUCGAAUUCCUGCUACAAAUUCCAUUUGGCCAUUCUUGAUUACCUUUUUGCAUUUGACAAGUUUUCCUAAAAGAUUAAAGAUUGUCAUAUCUGUUUUCAUGAGGUAUAUUAAUCUGUACAUUUCUUUAUUAUUAUGUUUUGGUAUGAAGGUGGUAUUAACCUCAUAGAAUGAAUUAGGAGAGUCUGCCCCCUCUCUAUUUUCUGAGAGUUUGUGGAACACGGGUAAAAUAGCUUAUGUGUAUGAUGAGAUUCACCAGGAAAACUAUUUGCAUCUGCAAUUUUCUUCCUGAAAAGGUGUCUAUAAUCACUUGUUAUCCUUUUAACAAUUCCUGGUCUGUAGCAAUGCCUCCUUUUCCCCUGAUAUUGGUAGUAAUUUGAAUUUUCACUUUUGAUGUUACGAUUAAUCUCAGUAGACAUUUAUCAAUCUUAUCAGUCUCUUAAAAAUCUAACUUUAAUUUUGUUGAUUUUCUGUGCUAUUUUCUAUUUCUGAUUUCUGUCAUUUCUAUUUUGGAUUUAACUUGCUUUCUGUUUCUCUGGUUCUAGGAUGGAAACUUGAAUCACUGUUGUUACACCUUAUUGAUUAAUGUAAACAGUCGAUGCUGUAACAUUCUCUUAGGCCCUGCUUUAA